rnacentral:rRNA from 1 species
CCUACGGGAUGCACCAGUGGGGAAUAUUGCACAAUGGGCGCAAGCCUGAUGCAGCCAUGCCGCGUGUAUGAAGAAGGCCUUCGGGUUGUAGAGUACUUGCAGCGGGGAGGAAGGUGUUGUGGUUAAUAACCGCAGCAAUUGACGUUACCCGCAGAAGAAGCACCGGCUAACUCCGUGCCAGCAGCCGCGGUAAUACGGAGGGUGCAAGCGUUAAUCGGAAUUACUGGGCGUAAAGCGCACGCAGGCGGUCUGACAAGUAGGAUGUGAAAUCCCCGGGCUCAACCUGGGAACUGCACUCGAAACUGGCAGGCUAGAGUCUUGUAGAGGGGGGUAGAAUUCCAGGUGUAGCGGUGAAAUGCGUAGAGAUCUGGAGGAAUACCGGUGGCGAAGGCGGCCCUCUGGACAAAGACUGACGCUCAGGUGCGAAAGCGUGGGGAGCAAACAGGAUUAGAUACCCGUGUAGUC